rnacentral:rRNA from 1 species
UGGGGAAUAUUGCACAAUGGGCGCAAGCCUGAUGCAGCCAUGCCGCGUGUAUGAAGAAGGCCUUCGGGUUGUAAAGUACUUUCAGCGGGGAGGAAGGUGUUGAGGCUAAUAACCUCAGCAAUUGACGUUACCCGCAGAAGAAGCACCGGCUAACUCCGUGCCAGCAGCCGCGGUAAUACGGAGGGUGCAAGCGUUAAUCGGAAUUACUGGGCGUAAAGCGCACGCAGGCGGUAUGUCAAGUCGGAUGUGAAAUCCCCGGGCUCAACCUGGGAACUGCAUUCGAAACUGGCAGGCUAGAGUCUUGUAGAGGGGGGUAGAAUUCCAGGUGUAGCGGUGAAAUGCGUAGAGAUCUGGAGGAAUACCGGUGGCGAAGGCGGCCCCCUGGACAAAGACUGACGCUCAGGUGCGAAAGCGUGGGGAGCAAACA